rnacentral:rRNA from 1 species
GUAAAAGUCGUAACAAGGUGGCGUAGGUGAACCUGCUGCCGGAUCAUUA